GGGGGGACGGCUCAGUGACAGAGCAUGUGUUUAGCAUGCAUGAGGUCCUGGGUUCAAUCCCCAGUGCCUCCA
rnacentral:tRNA from 1 species